rnacentral:lncRNA from 1 species
UCGGCAUAUCUUUUGAGUAUUUGCGCUUUAGUCCUCCAACUUUCAAUUGUCUUCAUUUCAGUCCCUCUUCAAUAUUUUCUUCUUCCAGUUGUUUUGCUUUGUCAUUGAGCUCAUACUUGGCAUGUCUUCCCUCUUGUUUUGCAUUUAGCUCAACUUUUCAAUAUUUGCACCUUUGGUCCUCGAACUAUCAAAUUGUUGCGUUUUCGUCCU